rnacentral:tRNA from 1 species
AAGGGCUUCGGCUCGAGACUGGUAGGUCCUGAGUUCGAAUCUCGCGGGUGCGGGAUCGUGGAUGCGCACU